GAGAGAGAGAGAGAGAGAGAGAGAGCCGAUGCAGAGUUAAGGAGGCAGAGCCCAGCUGCACACCUUGCCCGGCCAAAGCUGCAGGAAGCUCCUGCACCCUCCUCAGCCCUGCCGGUACCAGGUAGAGGUCAGAGCAGAACAAAAGGGAAAAAGAGAAAGGCCCCGCGGGAGACAUAACUGAGUAGCCUGACCUCCCGGGACAACUCACAGACGGUGAGGGGAAGGCACCCCUUCAGCUUCACCCCAAAGCUCUUGGUCACCCAACAGGAAAGGACACUGACAGAGACCAGCCUGCAGAGGCUACAAGAUGGAGAAGAAGCCACAUCAUGCGGAUGAGAGAGCCAAACCACACACGAGAGAAAUGAAGUCACUAUCCAGGCUGGUUGUGACCGGUGUCCCAACCAAGGAAGGAGAAGCAGAGAGGAGCAUCUGCACUGCUGGCCGAGCUGCAGGAAACAAGACUGAGGAGACGCUGUUCCCAUCCAACCCCAUAUCUUCACUCCCAACCCUGAGAAGUCCACACCAGUGAUGGCCACUGCAGAACAUAAGAAGAUUCUUCAACAGUUAAGAUCUUACUAAGCCCGGGCAACUGCUCUCCUAGGCACGUGUCUGAGAAGUCCCUACAACAGUAUCCAUGCUAUAAACAGCACACAUGCUAUCCACUAGUGACCAGGGAACCACACAUACACUGAGAGGAUGGUAUAUUAUCUGGUGAUAAAACCCAAAGCAUGGCUACAUGCCAUGACUCUUGAAACUAGGAUGUGGAGCCAACAUAAGCGGCCACACACAGAGUGUGCUGGAUGUGAAACUCCCAGAGUAGGAAGAUACAGGAGUGGGCAGGGAAGGGAUGACUCAUGAGAGGCAGGUCUCCUGGAGGUGAUGAGAUGAUAAAGAGGGAGACAGGGAUGACUGAUGCAUGGUACUGGGUAUUGGGUACCAUGGCCAUUUCCAAGAAUGCUCUCUUCAA